rnacentral:rRNA from 1 species
UGGGGAAUUUUGGACAAUGGGCGAAAGCCUGAUCCAGCAAUGCCGCGUGUGUGAAGAAGGCCUUCGGGUUGUAAAGCACUUUUGUCCGGAAAGAAAUCCUUGGCUCUAAUACAGUCGGGGGAUGACGGUACCGGAAGAAUAAGCACCGGCUAACUACGUGCCAGCAGCCGCGGUAAUACGUAGGGUGCAAGCGUUAAUCGGAAUUACUGGGCGUAAAGCGUGCGCAGGCGGUUUGCUAAGACCGAUGUGAAAUCCCCGGGCUCAACCUGGGAACUGCAUUGGUGACUGGCAGGCUAGAGUAUGGCAGAGGGGGUAGAAUUCCACGUGUAGCAGUGAAAUGCGUAGAGAUGUGGAGGAAUACCGAUGGCGAAGGCAGCCCCCUGGGCCAAUACUGACGCUCAUGCACGAAAGCGUGGGGAGCAAACAGGAUUAGAUACCCCUGGUAGUCCACGCCCUAAACGAUGUCAACUAGUUGUUGGGGAUUCAUUUCCUUAGUAACGUAGCUAACGCGUGAAGUUGACCGCCUGGGGAGUACGGUCGCAAGAUUAAAACUCAAAUGAAUUGAC